GAGUUGAUCAUGGCUCAGGAUGAACGCUGGCGGCGUGCCUAAUACAUGCAAGUCGAACGAGGUGGAUGGGAGCUGCUCCUUGAUACCGAGUGGCGAACGGGUGAGUAACACGUAGGUAACCUACCUUACAGUUGGGAUACCCGAGGGAAACCUUGGCUAAUACCGGAUAAUUCUUUAGGAGGCAUCUCCUGAAGCUAAAAAGGGGCUCCAAAGCCUCGCUGAAAGAUGGACCUGCGGCGCAUUAGCUAGUUGGUGAGAUAACAGCCCACCAAGGCGAGGAUGCGUAGCCGACCUGAGAGGGUGAACGGCCACACUGGAACUGAGACACGGUCCAGACUCCUACGGGAGGCAGCAGUAGGGAGUUUUCGGCAAGUGGGGGAAACCCUGACCGAGCAACGCCGCGUGAGUGAUGAAGGUCUUCGGAUUGUAAAGCUCUGUUGGUAGGGGAAGAAUGAUAGCUUGAGGAAAUGCUAGCUAUUUGACGGUACCUUAUUAGAAAGCCACGGCUAACUACGUGCCAGCCGCCGC
rnacentral:rRNA from 1 species